rnacentral:rRNA from 1 species
AGUGAACGCUGGCGGUAGGCCUAACACAUGCAAGUCGAACGGCAGCACAGUAAGAGCUUGCUCUUACGGGUGGCGAGUGGCGGACGGGUGAGGAAUACAUCGGAAUCUACUUUUUCGUGGGGAUAACGUAGGGAAACUUACGCUAAUACCGCAUACGACCUACGGGUGAAAGCAGGGGAUCUUCGGACCUUGCGCGAUUGAAUGAGCCGAUGUCGGAUUAGCUAGUUGGCGGGGUAAAGGCCCACCAAGGCGACGAUCCGUAGCUGGUCUGAGAGGAUGAUCAGCCACACUGGAACUGAGACACGGUCCAGACUCCUACGGGAGGCAGCAGUGGGGAAUAUUGGACAAUGGGCGCAAGCCUGAUCCAGCCAUACCGCGUGGGUGAAGGAGGCCUUCGGGUUGUAAAGCCCUUUUGUUGGGAAAGAAAAGCAGCAGGUUAAUACCCCGCUGUUCUGACGGUACCCAAAGAAUAAGCACCGGCUAACUUCGUG